rnacentral:rRNA from 1 species
UCUAAGGUGGGGGCGAUGAUUGGGGUGAAGUCGUAACAAGGUAGCCGUAUCGGAAGGUGCGGCUGGAUCACCUCCUUUCU